rnacentral:rRNA from 1 species
CAGUCGCCACGGUAAUACGGGGGGGGCAAGUGUUAUUCGGAAUGACUGGGCGUAAAGGGCACGUAGGCGGUGAAAAGGGUGGAAAGUGAAAGUCGCCAAAACACUGGCGGGGUGCUUUCUUGACCAUUUCACUUGAGUGAGAUAGGGGAGAGUGGAAUUUCGUGUGGAGGGAUCAAAUCCUAAGAUAUACGAAGGAACGCCAACCGCGAAGGCAGCUCUCUGGGUCCCCACUGACGCUGGGGUGCGAAAGCAUGGGGAGCAAACAGGAUCAGAUACCCGCGUAGUCCCUGUCUCUUAUACC